UCCAGACUCCUACGGGAGGCAGCAGUGAGGAAUAUUGGUCAAUGGGAGGAAUCCUGAACCAGCCAUGCCGCGUGCAGGACGACGGCUCUACGAGUUGUAAACUGCUUUUGUACCGGGGUAAAAUGCCUUACGAGUAGGGUUUUGAAAGUACGGUACGAAUAAGGAUCGGCUAACUCCGUGCCAGCAGCCGCGGUAAUACGGAGGAUCCGAGCGUUAUCCGGAUUCAUUGGGUUUAAAGGGUGCGUAGGUUGUUUUAUAAGUUAGCGGUGAAAUACCGAUGCUCAACAUCGGGGCUGCCGCUAAUACUGUAGGACUAGAGAUCGGAUGCAGCAGGCGGAAUGUGUAGUGUAGCGGUGAAAUGCUUAGAUAUUGCGCAGAACUCCGAUUGCGAAGGCAGCAUACCGGCGGCGAUCUGACGCUGAGGCACGAAAGCGUGGGUAUCGAACAGGAUUAGAUACCCCCGUAUA
rnacentral:rRNA from 1 species